rnacentral:rRNA from 1 species
GACGAACGCUGGCGGCGUGCUUAACACAUGCAAGUCGAACGGAAAGGCCCUGCUUUUGUGUGGUGCUCGAGUGGCGAACGGGUGAGUAACACGUGAGUAACCUGCCCUUGACUUUGGGAUAACUUCAGGAAACUGGUGCUAAUACCGGAUAGGAGCUCCUGCUGCAUGGUGGGGUUUGGAAAGUUUCGGCGGUUGGGGAUGGACUCGCGGCUUAUCAGCUUGUUGGUGGGGUAGUGGCUUACCAAGGCUUUGACGGGUAGCCGGCCUGAGAGGGUGACCGGCCACAUUGGGACUGAGAUACGGCCCAGACUCCUACGGGAGGCAGCAGUGGGGAGUAUUGCACAAUGGGCGGAAGCCUGAUGCAGCAACGCCGCGUGCGGGAUGACGGCCUUCGGGUUGUAAACCGCUUUCGCCUGUGACGAAGCGUGAGUGACGGUAAUGGGUAAAGAAGCACCGGCUAACUACGUG